rnacentral:rRNA from 1 species
UGGGGAAUAUUGCACAAUGGGCGCAAGCCUGAUGCAGCCAUGCCGCGUGUAUGAAGAAGGCCUUCGGGUUGUAAAGUACUUUCAGCGGGGAGGAAGGCGAUAAGGUUAAUAACCUUGUCGAUUGACGUUACCCGCAGAAGAAGCACCGGCUAACUCCGUGCCAGCAGCCGCGGUAAUACGGAGGGUGCAAGCGUUAAUCGGAAUUACUGGGCGUAAAGCGCACGCAGGCGGUCUGUCAAGUCGGAUGUGAAAUCCCCGGGCUCAACCUGGGAACUGCAUUCCAAACUGGCAGGCUAGAGUCUUGUAGAGGGGGGUAGAAUUCCAGGUGUAGCGGUGAAAUGCGUAGAGAUCUGGAGGAAUACCGGUGGCGAAGGCGGCCCCCUGGACAAAGACUGACGCUCAGGUGCGAAAGCGUGGGGAGCAAACA